UCCUCUUUUCGUUUUAUUAACUUCUUUUCCAUGUUUUACUCUUUGAAAGGGAGAAAAUGGUGGCUGCUCUUCUGUCUGCCGGGGCAAGGCCUAACUUGGUGACAGACCCGACUAAGGAAUACCUCGGCGGCUGCACAGCGGCUGAUAUUGCACAGCAGAAAGGUUACGAGGGUUUAGCAGCUUUUCUUGCAGAGAAAUGUCUUGUAGCACAGUUCAGAGACAUGAAAAUGGCUGGAAACAUCAGUGGUAACCUUGAGGGCGUCAAAGCAGAGACGUCAACAAACCCAGGGCAUUCAAAUGAAGAGGAGCAGAGCCUGAAGGACACUCUGGCGGCAUACAGAACCGCUGCAGAGGCGGCUGCACGGAUCCAGGGGGCCUUCAGAGAGCACGAGCUCAAAGUCAGGUCAAAGGCGGUGCGGUUUGCUAGCAAAGAAGAAGAGGCCAAAAACAUAAUAGCCGCUAUGAAGAUUCAGCAUGCGUUUCGAAAUUACGAGACUCGUAGGAAGAUUGCAGCCGCUGCUCGGAUUCAGUACAGGUUCCAAACAUGGAAAAUGAGGCGGGAGUUUUUGAACAUGCGGAAAAAGGCAAUUAAGAUCCAGGUAAAAAAAGAUUAUAUCGCCAUCAAACUCUGCAAGACUGCUCUUUGCUGCUUUAGAAUACACUAAAGAUGAAUUUGUUUUAUGGUGGUGCAGGCUGUGUUUAGGGGGUUCCAAGUAAGAAGACAGUACCAGAAGAUAACAUGGUCGGUGGGAGUUCUUGAGAAGGCGAUUCUGAGGUGGAGACUCAAGAGAAGAGGAUUCAGAGGGCUUCAGGUUAGCCAACCUGAGGAGAAGGAAGGCACUGAAGCGGUGGAGGAUUUCUACAAGACAAGCCAGAAACAAGCAGAGGAUCGGCUAGAGAGAUCAGUGGUUCGAGUCCAGGCCAUGUUCCGGUCCAAGAAGGCUCAGCAAGAUUACAGAAGGAUGAAACUGGCUCAUGAAGAAGCUCAGGUGAAAUUACUUUUGUUUCUUUCUAUUUUCUUAACUCACUACAUAUAAUCUAUUUCAAAAACAUGACACAAUUUCACUUAUAAAUAAUGUGUAACAUGUGACACAGCUGGGUAUGAUGUGAUGCAAGAGCUUGAUCAGAUGGCAUGGAGAGCUGAAUUUCAUAGUAAGGAGAAGUGUUGUGGUACUAUUAGUAAAUAUGUGUAAAUGACAAGGGGUAAUUUCGUCUUUUUGAAGCUGUUUUCAGAAAAGAAGUUUCAACGGUAUCAUGGUAAGAUCAAUCCUGGAGGUGGGAGAUUUUGCUUAGAGAUGUCUUGUCAUAAGUCUUUGUUUGGUAGACGGUGUUAGUUUUUGUAAUGCGUUAUGUGACUUAUAUGUUCAAUAACAAUAUAUAAGAUAUAAUAAGAAGACAAAGAAAAAGGCAAAAUACGUGAAAUCCAGAGUAUACAACUGCACAUCGUCUUCCACAAAACUUUUGUUACAGGCUGAUCUCGAAUUCUUGGUGCUUACACCUUGUGCCGAUGUUGAGUUGGACUUCGAGAUGAAAUAAAUAGGAGUUCCUUGCUUCUAAUCGAGAUUUGAUUUCUAUAGAUUAGAGAACGAAAAUGUAGAUUCUUGUAUUUUUUACCUUGCCUGCUCUAAUCAGUUUGCAACAACUCAAGACAGCGUUCUAUGUGCAUGAACUGAAGUCUUAGCGCAUUUUAAGUGGGAGAUUCUUCCCAAAUUACUCCACCAAAAGAUAUAUUAAAAAAAUUAAAAGCAUGAAAGAAAAAGUAAAAUUGUAGAGAAACUUAGGACUUUAAUCUAUUAUGGAACAAAAGGAUGAAAAAAAUACGGCACCAUCUAAAAUAAUCUCCCAUAGGACAAGGAAGUGGUUAAUGACAAUUUGCCCCAUUAAUGAAAUCAAUAUGAACCCUUAGAUCAGAAUUCUAUGGGAUAUAACGUGAGCCGUCGGAUCAUUAGAAGAAAAUAGAUCAAUAUUUAGAAGAAUGCCAUUAAUGAAACUCUCCCUUAAGCCGUCGGAUUUUCUGUCUUUGUUUUAAUCUUGGCCUUCAGAUCUCACAUCCAAACUCUUCUCUCUCGUCUGGGUCCCACAGAUGCAUUAAUCUUUUUUCUUCUUCUUCAUUUCUCCUACAACCAUACUCAACUACCACGGAAAUUCAUUCUCCUCACCAACAAAAGUUUUCUUCUUCAACUUUUCAUCCACAAACCUUCACCUCUGUUUCUUGGGGAUUUUCGACAGGUUAGGACGCCGUGAAACAGGUCAUGUACGUCGUCCUUAGUUCUGAAAUCGGUUGAUAAGUGUAAACUCUCUCCUUCUCUCUCUCUCUUCUGUUUCUCUCUCUCUCUCUCUCUCUUUAUUGUUGUUUGUUUCGGUUUAGUCAUAUAAACUGUGUGUUAACCAUAUGAGUCAGAUUAUAAAGUUUAAUAUAAUUUGGUUAAAGUAUGAAGCAUGAUAUUGUAGAAUAAAUCAUUUUUGUCUAUGGUACAAUAGGUACAACUAGGUACAACUCUAGUAAAAUGGAAAGUAGUAAAACUGGCAGAACUAGUAUUACUGAUAUUAUUCAUCUGAAACAUACCACUAGUAAACCUGGUAAAACUUGGAGUAACACAUUGAAUAGAUAGUAUUGGUACCACUCGUAUAAAUUAUAGUAGUCAUGGGCAAAGUUGACAUAGUAUAACUGGUCUUACUAGUAUAACUGAUAACUAUUGUUACAUGUAAACUAGUCUAAUUGAUAAUAUUAGUAUAACUGAACUAACUUAUUAAUGAUAAUUUUGGUUUUUAGUCAUUUUCAGGAACUAUGGAUAGUAAUGGGUCUGUGGUGAUACAUUUUGAACAUGGUGAAGAGCAACAUAUUUCUACACUAGUGAUGAAAGGAAGAUAUGAGGAGAUUACUUAUUCUCAGUUGGUUGAUAGAAUAGCCAAGAAAAUGAAGAUCGAUGUAGUUGAGACGAAGCUUCAGUUGAGUUACUUUCCGCUGGUAUUGAAUAAUAAGAGGCCUUGUUAUAUCUUGGAUGAUGAAGAUGUUUUAGGAUAUUUAAUGAAGGUAGAUAAGAAAAACCGACGUAGUGUCUUGCGUGUGGAGCUUAAGGAAAUCGUCGCAGAAAAUCAGAGCAACAAGAUGUUUUCUAUGAAUGAGGAAAAUUACACGAGGUUCUUUUGCAUAUCCUCUUUUCGUUUUAUUAACUUCUUUUCCAUGUUUUACUCUUUGAAAGGGAGAAAAUGGUGGCUGCUCUUCUGUCUGCCGGGGCAAGGCCUAACUUGGUGACAGACCCGACUAAGGAAUACCUCGGCGGCUGCACAGCGGCUGAUAUUGCACAGCAGAAAGGUUACGAGGGUUUAGCAGCUUUUCUUGCAGAGAAAUGUCUUGUAGCACAGUUCAGAGACAUGAAAAUGGCUGGAAACAUCAGUGGUAACCUUGAGGGCGUCAAAGCAGAGACGUCAACAAACCCAGGGCAUUCAAAUGAAGAGGAGCAGAGCCUGAAGGACACUCUGGCGGCAUACAGAACCGCUGCAGAGGCGGCUGCACGGAUCCAGGGGGCCUUCAGAGAGCACGAGCUCAAAGUC
rnacentral:lncRNA from 1 species